rnacentral:rRNA from 1 species
AUGCAAGCCCCGCCGCUCGCCGCGCUCGCCGGAGGCGCCUGGGCCUCCCAUCGACCUGCCAUAUUAGCGGCGCCGGCGAGCCUCCGCCGUCCCAGGCGCGGCGCCCUCCGGCUGCCCGCGUGGAGGCCGGCCGGAGGCGGCCGGGCUCCGCGGCUCCCGGCCAAGGGCGCCGUGCUCGCCUCCGACACGGGGGCGGACGAGGAGGUCGCGGGGCCAUCGCCCCUGCUCGACGUGCGCAGCGAGCAAGAGUUCGUUCUACGCGUCAGGAAGGAAGUGGAGAGAGGGAAGUUGCGUCCGGAUGUUGCUGACAACUUUGAAAACCUGUACUACAACUACAAGAAUGCGGUCCUACAAAAUGGGGAUCCAAAUGCAUAUCAGAUCAUGCUUUCCAACAUGAUGGAUUUAUUUGACCGCGUUCUGCUGGAUGAAGAGAAUCCAUUUACGUUUCAGCCUUAUCACAAGGCCAUCAGAGAACCGUUUGACUAUUACACUUUCGGUCAGAACUACAUUAGGCCACUGGUAGAUUUUAGGAACUCUUAUGUCGGUAACAUUUCUGUGUUCAGUGAUAUGGAGAAUCAGCUUCGGCAGGGUCAUAAUGUUGUUCUGAUGUCUAAUCAUCAGACAGAAGCGGAUCCAGCAGUUAUUGCCUUGUCACUUGAAAGAAGCAAUCCGUGGAUUAGCGAGAACAUAGUUUAUGUUGCUGGGGAUAGGGUUCUUACAGAUCCUCUUUGCAAGCCAUUUAGCAUGGGAAGAAACCUCCUUUGUGUGUACUCAAAAAAGCAUAUGAAUGAUUUUCCUGAGCUAAUUGAGAUGAAGAGGAGGGCAAACACUCGAAGUCUCAAGGAAAUGGCUUUGCUUUUACGUGGGGGUUCACAUAUAAUUUGGAUAGCUCCGAGUGGCGGUAGAGACCGUCCUGACCCUUUGACUGGAGAAUGGCACCCGGCGCCAUUUGAUGCAUCUGCAGUGGAUAAUAUGAGGAGGCUUCUGGAGCAUUCUGGCGUUCCUGGGCACAUAUAUCCAUUAUCAUUGCUAUGCUAUGAGAUUAUGCCUCCACCACAACAGAUUGAGAAAGAGAUUGGUGAGCAAAGAGUGAUAUCCUUCCAUGGUGUAGGCUUGUCAGUAGCUGAAGAAAUAAAGUAUGGGGAUGUUACUGCUCAAUCUCGGAAUGCUGAUGUGGCAAGGGGGAUAUUCUCAGAGGCUCUGUACAAUUCAGUUGUUGAUCAAUAUAAUGUCCUCAAGUCUGCUAUCUUUAGAGACCGUGGAGCAGUUUCGUCAAACCCUGCCAUCUCACUCUCGCAACCAUGGCGAUGA